UGGGGAAUAUUGCACAAUGGGCGAAAGCCUGAUGCAGCAACGCCGCGUGAAGGAUGAAGGGUUUCGGCUCGUAAACUUCUAUCAAUAGGGAAGAAAAAAAUGACGGUACCUAAAUAAGAAGCCCCGGCUAACUACGUGCCAGCAGCCGCGGUAAUACGUAGGGGGCAAGCGUUAUCCGGAAUUACUGGGUGUAAAGGGAGAGUAGGCGGCAUGGUAAGUUAGAUGUGAAAGCCCGUGGCUUAACCACGGGAUUGCAUUUAAAACUAUCAAGCUAGAGUACAGGAGAGGUAAGUGGAAUUCCUAGUGUAGCGGUGAAAUGCGUAGAUAUUAGGAAGAACACCAGUGGCGAAGGCGACUUACUGGACUGAAACUGACGCUGAGGCUCGAAAGCGUGGGGAGCAAACAGG
rnacentral:rRNA from 2 species